UUUUUGACAGAAAAUUGGAGGAUAGUAAUUUUGGAGGAAAUCAUAUAUAUGAAAAUUGACCAACUCUCUCCAUAUGAUUGACACAUAAUCACUUUAGCAUUUGACAUGUGUCUAUUAAAUAAUUAAUGUAAGCUCUUCAACUUCUAAUUUAUAGGUUAAAGAUAUAUUUAUUAUUUAAUUUUACAUCUU
rnacentral:sRNA from 1 species